rnacentral:ncRNA from 1 species
CGUCGUGAGGCGGAAUCUGAAGGAAGCCGGAUGUGGGGAGAAUACUAACCCGCGGGCAAAACCUCGGUCUGACGAACAGAAACUGCAUAUAAGGCGUACUCGGAACGGACGAGUUUCCCGAACAAAACGAAGUCCAAUACUGCCCGAAUUCCGGGGCGUAAAUGCAGCAGAUACGCGAGGUGAAGGUAAU